rnacentral:rRNA from 1 species
GGGUUGUGAGGUUAAGCGAAUAAGCGUACACGGUGGAUGCCUAGGCAGUCAGAGGCGAUGAAGGACGUGCUAAUCUGCGAUAAGCGCCGGUAAGGUGAUAUGAACCGUUAUAACCGGCGAUUUCCGAAUGGGGAAACCCAGUGUGAUUCGUCACACUAUCAUUACCUGAAUACAUAGGGUAAUGAAGCGAACCGGGAGAACUGAAACAUCUAAGUACCCCGAGGAAAAGAAAUCAAACGAGAUUCCCCCAGUAGCGGCGAGCGAACGGGGAGCAGCCCAGGACCUUAAUCAGCAUCAGUGUUAAGAGAACAGUCUGGAAAGGCUGGCCACAGCAGGUGAUAGCCCUGUAUCUGAAAGCACUGGUGUUGUGAGUCCGAUGAGUAAGGCGGGACACGUGUUAUCCUGUCUGAAUACGGGGGGACCAUCCUCCAAGGCUAAAUACUCCUGACUGACCGAUAGUGAACCAGUACCGUGAGGGAAAGGCGAAAAGAACCCCGGCGAGGGGAGUGAAAAAGAACCUGAAACCGUGUACGUACAAGCAGUGGGAGCACCUUUAUGGUGUGACUGCGUACCUUUUGUAUAAUGGGUCAGCGACUUAUAUUCUGUAGCAAGGUUAACCGAAUAGGGGAGCCGCAGGGAAACCGAGUCUUAACUGGGCGAAUUAGUUGCAGGGUAUAGACCCGAAACCCGGUGAUCUAGCCAUGGGCAGGUUGAAGGUUGGGUAACACUAACUGGAGGACCGAACCGACUAAUGUUGAAAAAUUAGCGGAUGACUUGUGGCUGGGGGUGAAAGGCCAAUCAAACCGGGAGAUAGCUGGUUCUCCCCGAAAGCUAUUUAGGUAGCGCCUCGUGAACUCAUCUCCGGGGGUAGAGCACUGUUUCGGCUAGGGGGUCAUCCCGACUUACCAACCCGAUGCAAACUGCGAAUACCGGAGAAUGUUAUCACGGGAGACACACGGCGGGUGCUAACGUUCGUCGUGAAGAGGGAAACAACCCAGACCGCCGGCUAAGGUCCCAAAGUCAUAAUUAAGUGGGAAACGAAGUGGGAAGGCUCAGACAGCCAGGAUGUUGGCUUAGAAGCAGCCAUCAUUUAAAGAAAGCGUAAUAGCUCACUGGUCGAGUCGGCCUGCGCGGAAGAUGUAACGGGGCUAAAUUAUGCACCGAAGCCGCGGCAGCGAUAUGUAAAUAUUGUUGGGUAGGGGAGCGUUCUGUAAGCCUGUGAAGGUGGCCUGUGAGGGCUGCUGGAGGUAUCAGAAGUGCGAAUGCUGACAUAAGUAACGAUAAUGCGGGUGAAAAACCCGCACGCCGGAAGACCAAGGGUUCCUGUCCAACGUUAAUCGGGGCAGGGUGAGUCGACCCCUAAGGCGAGGCUGAAAAGCGUAGUCGAUGGGCAACGGGUUAAUAUUCCCGUACUGGUGGUAACUGCGAAGGGGGGACGGAGAAAGCUAAAUCAUCCGGGCGACGGUUGUCCCGGUUUAAGCGUGCAGGUGGACUGACCAGGCAAAUCCGGUCGGUUGUUAACACUGAGGCGUGACGACGAGCCACUACGGUGGUGAAGUGAUUGAUGCUCUGCUUCCGGGAAAAGCCUCUAAGCUCCAGGUUACCAUUAAUCGUACCCCAAACCGACACAGGUGGUCAGGUAGAGAAUACUCAGGCGCUUGAGAGAACUCGGGUGAAGGAACUAGGCAAAAUGGUGCCGUAACUUCGGGAGAAGGCACGCUGGCACUAGGUGAAGUCCCUUGCGGACGGAGCUGAAGCCAGCCGCAGAUACCAGCUGGCUGCAACUGUUUAUUAAAAACACAGCACUGUGCAAACACGAAAGUGGACGUAUACGGUGUGACGCCUGCCCGGUGCCGGAAGGUUAAUUGAUGAGGUUAGCGUAAGCGAAGCUUCUGAUCGAAGCCCCGGUAAACGGCGGCCGUAACUAUAACGGUCCUAAGGUAGCGAAAUUCCUUGUCGGGUAAGUUCCGACCUGCACGAAUGGCGUAAUGAUGGCCAGGCUGUCUCCACCCGAGACUCAGUGAAAUUGAACUCGCUGUGAAGAUGCAGUGUACCCGCGGCAAGACGGAAAGACCCCGUGAACCUUUACUAUAGCUUGACACUGAACA